UUGACCUAGUUGUUAUGACCUGGUUGUAUUAUUAUUAUUUUUAUUAUUAUUUUUAUUUUCUUCUUUUUUCUUAAUUUUCUUUUUUCAUCUUCUUUUUCUUUUCCUUUUCUCUUCAACAAAGUGAGGACAUUCUUUCCUGAUUUAUACCAUAAGUUGCUGGGUAUCAUGUGCUUGAAGAUACCCUAAACUUAACCUAACCUAACCUAUCCUAACAAAAACCCAAACAGUUACUAUAGGGCUUGACUCAGAAAAUUCAUAUAUGCUUCCUUAGUAUCCUUACUAAUGAGACUUUCUAUACAAUAAAUGGAGGUCAUUUUUUGUUGAUUUAUACCAUAAGGUGCUGGCUAUCAUGUGCUUGAAGAUACCCUAAACUUAACCUAACCUAACCUAACAAGACCCGAGACAGUUACUAUAGGUCUUGACUCAGAAAACUCAUAUAUGCUUCCUUAGUUAUGAGACUUUCUAUACAACAAAGUGAGGUUCUUCUUUCUUGAUUUAUACCAUAAGGUGCUGGCUAUCAGGUGUUUGAAGAUACCCUACACUUAACCUAACCUAACCUAACAAAACCCCAAACAGUUACUAUAGGUCUUGACUCAGAAAACUCAUAUAUGCUUCCUUAGUUAUGAGACUUUCUAUACAACAAAGUGAGGUCAUUCUUUGUUGAUUUAUACCAUAAGGUGCUGGCUAUCAUGUGUUUGAAGAUACCCUAAACUUAACCUAACCUAACCUAACAAAACCCCAAACAGUUACUAUAGGUCUUGACUCAGAAAACUCAUAUAUGCUUCCUUAGUUAUGAGACUUUCUAUACAACAAAGUGAGGUCAUUCUUUGUUGAUUUAUACCAUAAGGUGCUGGCUAUCAUGUGUUUGAAGAUACCCUAAACUUAACCUAACCUAACCUAACAAAACCCCAAACAGUUACUAUAGGUCUUGACUCAGAAAACUCAUAUAUGCUUCCUUAGUUAUGAGACUUUCUAUACAACAAAGUGAGGUCAUUCUUUGUUGAUUUAUACCAUAAGGUGCUGGCUAUCUUGUGUUUGAAGAUACCCUAAACUUAACCUAACCUAACCUAACAAAACCCCAAACAGUUACUAUAGGUCUUGACUCAGAAAAUUCAAAUAUGUUUCCUUACUAAUGAGACUUUCUAUACAACAAAGUGAGGUCAUUCUUUGUUGAUUUAUACCAUAAGGUGCUAGCUAUCAUGUGCUUGAAGAUACCCUAAACUUAACCUAACCUAACCUAACAAAACUCCAAACAGUUACUAUAGGUCUUGACUCAGAAAAUUCAAAUAUGCUUCCUUACUAAUGAGACUUUCUAUACAACAAAGUGAGGUCAUUCUUUGUUGAUUUAUACCAUAAGGUGCUGGCUAUCAUGUGUUUGAAGAUACCCUAAACUUAACCUAACCUAACCUAACAAAACCCCCAAACAAUUGCUAUAGGUCUAGACUCAGAAAAUUCAUAUAUGUUGCCUUACAAAUGAGACUUUCUAUACAACAAAGUGAGGUCA